AACGUAGGAGGCGAGCGUUAUCCGGAUUUACUGGGUGUAAAGCGCGUGCAGGCGGUUUGAUAAGUUGGAUGUGAAAGCUCCUGGCUCAACUGGGAGAGGUCGUUCAAGACUGUCAGACUUGAGGAUGGUAGGGGAAGGUGGAAUUCCGGGUGUAGUGGUGAAAUGCGUAGAUAUCCGGAGGAACACCAGUGGCGAAGGCGGCCUUCUGGACCAUGACUGACGCUCAGACGCGAAAGCUAGGGUAGCAAACGGG
rnacentral:rRNA from 1 species